rnacentral:rRNA from 1 species
GCUCAACCGUGGAACUGCAGGGCGAACCGCGUACCUUGAGGUAGGUAGGGGUCAUCGGAACGUACGGUGGAGCGGUGAAAUGCAUAGAUAUCGUACGGAACGCCGAAGGUGAAGACAGGUGACUGGGCCUAUUCUGACGCUCAUGGACGAAAGCGUGGGGAUCAAACAGGAUUAGAUACCCUGGUAGUCCACGCCGUAAACGAUGCGCACUAGGUCGGUGGUCCUUCGACGGAUUGCCGGCCGGAGAGAAAUUGUUAAGUGCGCCGCCUGGGGAGUACGGUCGCAAGGCUAAAACUCAAAGGAAUUGACGGGGGCUCACACAAGCGGUGGAGCAUGUUGCUUAAUUCGAAGCAACGCGAAGAACCUUACCUGGGCUUGACAUGCACGGAUUAGCUCUUGGAAACAUGAGUGACGCCCUCGGGUGGAACGUGCACAGGUGCUGCAUGGCUGUCGUCAGCUCGUGCUGUGAAGUGUUGGGUUAAGUCCUUUAACGAGCGCAACCCUUGUCGCUAGUUGCCAGCGCGUCAUGGCGGGGACUCUAGCGAGACUGCCGGUGUCAAACCGGAGGAAGGUGGGGAUGACGUCAAGUCAUCAUGGCCCUUACGCCCAGGGACGCAAACGUGCUACAAUGGCCGAUACAGAGCGAAGCAAGACCGCGAGGUGGAGCAAAUCGCAAAAAGUCGGCCCCAGUUCGGAUUGCAGUCUGCAACUCGACUGCAUGAAGU